AGAAAUCGAAGAGAUUCCCUUAGUAGCGGCGAGCGAAGCGGGAAGAGCCCAAACCUGACUAUCUAUAGUUGGGGGUAGUAGGACUACAUAACGUUACUUUAAUUUUAUAGUGGAACAAUCUGGAAAGUUUGACCAUAGAAGGUGAAAGUCCUGUAUACGAAAUAAAAUGAAGAGCAGUAGAAUCCUGAGUAGUGCGGAACAAGAGAAAUUUUGCAUGAAUUCGCCCAGACCACUGGGUAAGGCUAAAUACUCCUCGGUGACCGAUAGAGAAAAAGUACCGUGAGGGAAAGGUGAAAAGAACCCUUAAGAAGGGAGUGAAAUAGAACCUGAAACCACAUGCCUACAAACGGAGGGAGCGACAUAAGUUGUGACCUCGUGCCUUUUGUUUAAUGAGCCAACGAGUUGCUCGUAAUAUGCGAGGUUAAGUUUAUGAAUAAACGUACCCGUAGCGAAAGCGAGUCUAAAUAGGGCGAUAGUAUAUUGCGGCAGACGCGAAACCCGGUGAUCUAUCCAUGUGCAGGAUGAAGCUUAGGUAACACUAAGUGGAGGUCCGAACCAGUUUACGUUGAAAAGUAUUUGGAUGACGUGUGGAUAGGGGUGAAAGGCCAAUCAAACUGGGUUAUAGCUCGUACUCCCCGAAAUGCAUUUAGGUGCAGCCUUAUUACAGUGAAUCGGAGGUAGGGCACUGAUAGGGUUAGGGCUACACAGUAGUACCGCCCCCUGAUAAACUUCGAAUUCCGACUUCAUGAUUAAUAGGAGUGAGGCAGUGUGAGAUAAGUUUCAUUGCCGAGAGGGAAAGAACCCGGAUCAUCAGCUAAGGUCCCCAAGUAAAUACUAACAGAUAAAGGAUGUUGUGUUGCCUAGACAGCCAGGAUGUUGGCUUAGAAGCAGCCAUUCGUUCAAAGAGUGCGUAAUAGCUCACUGGUCGAGCGAUACAGCGCCGACAAUACACGGGACUAAGUAUUUCACCGAAGCUAUGGAUUUGUAUCUUUUAGGUACAAGUGGUAGGGGAGCAUUCUAUUCAGCGUCGAAGGUGUAUCGUGAGGUAUGCUGGAGCGUAUAGAAGAGCAAAUGUUGGCAUUAGUAACGAUAACGGGGGUGAGAAUCCCCCGCGCCGAAAGUCUAAGGUUUCCUAGAGCACUGUUCGUCAGCUCAGGGUUAGUCGGCCCCUAAGGCCAGGCCGAAAGGCGUAGUCGAUGGGAAUAUGGUAAAAUAAUAAAUAUUCCAUAACCACCGAAAGAGUUAAUCAUAGGGACGCAGGAGUUACUUUAAUAAAAGUUAAUGGCUAUCUUUUAUUAGAUAUACACACUGCCAAGAAAAGCUAUGAGAAUUUCUUAGGUGACCGUACCGCAAACCGACACAGGUAGACGGGUUGAGUAUACUCAGGCGCGCGAGUGAAUCGCUGUUAAGGAACUCGGCAAAUUGACCUCGUAACUUCGGGAGAAGAGGUGCCUGCAUAAUGCAGGCCGCAGAGAAAUGGCUCUGGCGACUGUUUAACAAAAACACAGCUCACUGCUAACUCGUUAAGAGGAAGUAUAGUGAGUGACGCCUGCCCGGUGCUGGAAGGUUAAAAGGAGAUGUCAGCGUAAGCGAAGCAUUGAAUUGAAGCCCCAGUAAACGGCGGCCGUAACUAUAACGGUCCUAAGGUAGCGAAAUUCCUUGUCGGGUAAGUUCCGACCUGCACGAAU
rnacentral:rRNA from 1 species